rnacentral:sRNA from 1 species
GUUGCGAUGUGACCUGCCCUCAAAGAGGUAAGAGUGAGGCCGGCGUGGCCGAGUUCAGCUCUGUGGGACAGGAGACAGGGACAGGGCACCUGCUGCUUCUCCCUUCAGAUGCAGCUGAUGCCUCAGAAGCCAGUUAAGGUAGAGGCUGUAGCAUGUGGGAAGGUGGGGGACACCCGUGCUGAAAUCCUGUUGUUACACUGAAGAGGAACAGGACAAGGGACUGUGCCUUCCUGGGGCUGACUUUGUUCCCGUCUCCUCCGUAGCCAAGCCCUCAAUGUCAGGCUGCACCUUCCCCUGCCUCGAGGGGUGGUCAGCCUGUCUCAGGAGCUGAGCAGCCCAGAGCAGAAGGCUGAGCUGGCAGAGGGAGCCCUUCGCUGGGACCUGCCUCGGGUGCAAGGAGGCUCUCAACUCUCAGGCCUUUUCCAGAUGGAUGUCCCAGGGCCCCCAGGACCUCCCAGCCAUGGGCUCUCCACCUCGGCCUCUCCUCUGGGGCUCGGCCCUGCCAGUCUCUCCUUCGAGCUUCCCCGGCACACAUGCUCUGGCCUCCAGGUCCGAUUCCUC